GAUGAACGCUAGCGGGAGGCCUAACACAUGCAAGUCGAACGGGAUUGAGAGCUUGCUCUCAUGAGAGUGGCGCACGGGUGCGUAACGCGUAUGCAACUUACCCUUUACUGAAGAAUAGCCCAGAGAAAUUUGGAUUAAUACUUCAUAGUUCUUUUGGCCCGCAUGGGUCGAGGUUUAAAGCUCCGGCGGUUAAAGAUGGGCAUGCGUGACAUUAGUUUGUUGGUGAGGUAACGGCUCACCAAGACUACGAUGUCUAGGGGUUCUGAGAGGAUGAUCCCCCACACUGGUACUGAGACACGGACCAGACUCCUACGGGAGGCAGCAGUGAGGAAUAUUGGUCAAUGGACGCAAGUCUGAACCAGCCAUGCCGCGUGCAGGAUGACGGCCCUAUGGGUUGUAAACUGCUUUUAUUAAGGAAUAAACCCUCCUACGUGUAGGAGGCUGAACGUACUUAAAGAAUAAGCAUCGGCUAACUCCGUGCCAGCAGCCGCGGUAAUACGGAGGAUGCAAGCGUUAUCCGGAUUCAUUGGGUUUAAAGGGUUCGCAGGCGGCUUUGUAAGUCAGUGGUGAAAUCCUGCCGCUUAACGGUAGAAUUGCCAUUGAUACUGCAGGGCUUGAGUAUGGUUGAGGUAGGCGGAAUGUGUGGUGUAGCGGUGAAAUGCAUAGAUAUCACACAGAACACCGAUUGCGAAGGCAGCUUACUAAACCAUUACUGACGCUGAGGCACGAAAGCGUGGGGAGCGAACAGGAUUAGAUACCCUGGUAGUCCACGCCGUAAAUGAUGUUCAUUCGCUGUUUGCAAUACACACUAAGCGGCUUAGCGCAAGCAUUAAAUGAACCACCUGGGGAGUACGAUCGCAAGGUUGAAACUCAAAGGAAUUGACGGGGGCCCGCACAAGCGGUGGAACAUGUGGUUUAAUUCGAUGAUACGCGAGGAACCUUACCUGGGCUUAAAUGUAGUGCAUAAACGGGAAACUGUUUUUUCCUUCGGGACUCUUUACAAGGUGCUGCAUGGUUGUCGUCAGCUCGUGCCGUGAGGUGUCGGGUUAAGUCCCAUAACGAGCGCAACCCCUAUCGUUAGUUGCCAGCGAGUCAAGUCGGGGACUCUAACGAGACUGCCGGUGUAAACCGCGAGGAAGGUGGGGAUGACGUCAAAUCAGCACGGCCCUUACGUCCAGGGCUACACACGUGUUACAAUGGCCGAUACAAAGGGCAGCUACCAGGUGACUGGAUGCUAAUCUCUAAAGUCGGUCUUAGUUCGGAUCGAAGUCUGCAACUCGACUUCGUGAAGCUGGAUUCGCUAGUAAUCGCAUAUCAGCAUGAUGCGGUGAAUACGUUCCCGGGCCUUGUACACACCGCCCGUCACACCAUGGGAGCGGGUUCUGCCAGAAGUAGUUAGCCUAACCGAAAGGGGGGCGAUUACCACGGCAGGGUUCGUGACUGGGGUG
rnacentral:rRNA from 1 species